rnacentral:tRNA from 1 species
UCUCUGGUGGUCCAGUGGUUAAGACUCUGCACUUCCACUGUAGAGUGCACAGGUUCAAUCCCUGGUUAGGGAG